rnacentral:snRNA from 2 species
UUCCUUUUAGCAGCAAAUAUACUAAAAUUGGAAUGAUGCAAAGAAGAUUAGCUUGGCCCCUGGGCAAGGAUGACACGAAAAUUCGUGAAGCAUUUUAUAUGUAA